CUUCUUCUUCUUCUUCUUCAAUCUAGUGCACUGGAUUUAUUGUCACGAAAGAAAUGAAGACGGUCAGUAACAUGCCAGCUUACAAAGCUUGCUGGAGACAUCCAAUGGUUUAUUUGAUGAACUUCAUAGAUGGCUUUUGAUGACUGAAUCAUGUCAUUUAGCAUGACUUAAGCCUGUGGUUAGAACCUUUUAUUCUGACAAAAAUCAUCAGAUCAGAAUAAACUCAUCAAUUGCAGCUCUAUAAAUUUGAUAGGAGAUAAUCCCUGAAAAUUUUAGGUGAACUGUUAGAUUUAUGAAAGAUCAUUUUCCUAAUUUGAUUGGGAGAAAUAUUUUCCUAAUUCCUCAUAGAAAUAUUUUCCUAUAUAAAGUCAAAUUUUUAUUUUAAUGUUAUUUUGAAAUUGAGUAGAGUAAAAAGAUUAUUAGGUUUUCAACUCAUGUUGUGAGACUGUGCCUAGAGAAGGAGAUUUAGCUUUGCCUAUUGAUGGAGGGCUCUUGCCCAUUGUAGUCCUAUGGAGGAACAGUUCAACGUAAGGUGAAGAGGGCUCUUGUCUAUUUCAGUUUUAUAGAAGAAAAGUAGUUUCAACUUAAGGUGGCGAAAGGAUAUGGAAUUCAAGACUUUGUGGUUAAGUAGUUAAAAUAGUAAAUGCAUUAGGUUAUGUAUAGAGGGACUAACUAAUGUAUUUAGUCUGAGCAAUGUAAGGAUUUUCUUGGGUGUAAUUGAGUUAAGGGUAAAUGUUUUUGAGUUUGUAAUUUAUGAUUUAUUUUAUUAAUAACAGAAGAUGUUAUACUAUGGAUGUAGCCUACAUAGAGAGGGUGAACCAUAUAAAUAUUGGUGUUUU
rnacentral:misc_RNA from 1 species